UACGAAGGGGCUAGCGUUGCUCGGAAUCACUGGGCGUAAAGGGUGCGUAGGCGGGUCUUUAAGUCAGGGGUGAAAUCCUGGAGCUCAACUCCAGAACUGCCUUUGAUACUGAAGAUCUUGAGUUCGGGAGAGGUGAGUGGAACUGCGAGUGUAGAGGUGAAAUUCGUAGAUAUUCGCAAGAACACCAGUGGCGAAGGCGGCUCACUGGCCCGAUACUGACGCUGAGGCACGAAAGCGUGGGGAGCAAACAGGA
rnacentral:rRNA from 1 species